GCGGCCACACCGGACUCCAUUUCCCAGAAGUCGCCGCGGGGCUCUGUUUCUGGCCAAAGUCUUUUUCAUUCCUGCAGCCCGGUUUAUGAUACACACACGCUCAGGGAUUGUACUUCCCAGAGAGGCUUCCGCCUGUGCUUGCUCCCGGAAUCUAUUAUCCAUCGUGCUUUUUUGUUGCACACGUCUUUAAAGUCCACCAGAAUCCAACGAAAUGGAGCCUCGAGGAAAAGAAGAGAUUUAGCCGCGAAGGAUUCUGGGAAUGCUGGGCUUACAGGGGCGCCGAUCUUCGCUGGCGCUAGGCGCUUGGUUUCCUCUCCGCAGCUCUCUGCGCACGGUACGCCUGUCCCUCGUUGGCCUUCCACUCAGGGCAAUCACCAGCCACUCUCAGGGUCCUCUUGAGCCGUACUAAAAGUUUGGGAAGACUAAAGGAAAUCAGAAGUCCCUCAGUCUGAACAGGACAGCCGUGAGUGGGUGGCCUGGGACCCUCAAAGUAUAAAAACCUAUCGGCCGGCGGGAACUGCUUCAGUCAUUUCAGGGGCAGUGUUUGAUCAGCACUUCUGCGGGAGGAGAUUCCUGAAUCCUGUGUUCCUUAAGGGCUUCCCUGCUGCAGGCUGGGGAUGUUUCAAUGGACUUUCCCUCGAGCCCUUUGGAAAUUACUUCUUAAGCAAUUUUUCGAUGAUCAGCUCCUUUUUAUAGGCAUUUUGUCGUUAAGGGGAGGGGACUGGGUUACCCAGGAAAUAAGUGAGUAUGGGGAUUCUAAGGCUCCUUUUCAUUUUGUCUUGUCUCUUUCCCUUUCAAUCACAGCCGGUGGCAUUUUUGCCAGUGUAAGUUUCUUAAUUUUGUGGGUCUUCCUAUGAAUCUUAAUGGGAUUGGCUCCAUCGGAGAAGCCACA
rnacentral:lncRNA from 10 species